UGGACAAAACAAAAAGAAAGGAAAGAAUUCUUAUUCACUCACGCAAAAAGAUGAAGGAAGCCUUGCUUCAGAAGCAGUGUAUGCAGAAGAACUGUGGCUGUGAAAAGGGAGUAAAAGAGACAAAGGUGAUCUG